CCAUGCAGUCCAUCUCCACCGUUUUCUUCUCGGUUCAGCUUUAGAACUUCAUGGCCAAGGACAACGUCCCCUUCCAUAGUGUUGUGUUUCCCUGUUCGUUGCUGGGUACUGGGGAUAGAUACACGCUCGUCAACCAUCUUAUCGCAACAGGUACUCUGUGUGUGAGAGUUGGCCCCACCUAGAAUCAUAGAAUCAUAGAAUCAUAGAGUUGGAAGAGACCACAAGGGCCAUCGAGUCCAACCCCCUGCCAAGCAGGAAACACCAUCAGAGCACUCCUGACAUAUGGUUGUCAAGCCUCUGCUUAAAGACCUCCAAAGAAGGAGACUCCACCACACUCCUUGGCAGCAAAUUCCACUGUCGAACAGCUCUUACUGUCAGGAAGUUCUUCCUAAUGUUUAGGUGGAAUCUUCUUUCUUGUAGUUUGAUCCAUUGCUCCGUGUCCGCUUCUCUGGAGCAGCAGAAAACAACCUUUCUCCUCCUCUAUGUGACAUCCUUUAUAUAUUUGAACAUGGCUAUCAUAUCACCCCUUAACCUCCUCUUCUCCAGGCUAAACAUGCCCAGCUCCCUUAGCCGCUCCUCAUAAGGCAUCGUUUCCAGGCCUUUGACCAUUUUGGUUGCCCUCCUCUGGACACGUUCCAGUUUGUCAGUGUCCUUCUUGAACUGUGGUGCCCAGAACUGGACACAGUACUCCAGGUGAGGUCUGACCAGAGCAGAAUACAGUGGCACUAUUACUUCCCUUGAUCUAGAUGCUAUACUCCUAUUGAUGCAGCCCAGAAUUGCAUUGGCUUUUUAGCUGCCGCGUCACACUGUUGGCUCAUGUCAAGUUUGUGGUCAACCAAGACUCCUAGAUCCUUUUCACAUGUACUGCUCUCAAGCCAGGUGUCCCCCAUCUUGUAUUUGUGCCUCUCAUUUUUUUUGCCCAAGUGCAAUACUUUACAUUUCUCCCUGUUAAAAUUCAUCUUGUUUGUUUUGGCCCAGUUCUCUAAUCUGUCAAGGUCGUUUUGAAGUGUGAUCCUGUCCUCUGGGGUGUUAGCCACCCCUCCCAGUUUGGUGUCAUCUGCAAAUUUGAUCAGGAUGCCCUUGAGUCCAUCAUCCAAGUCGUUGAUAAAGAUGUUGAAUAAGACCGGGCCCAAGACAGAACCCUGUGGCACCCCACUAGUCACUCUUCUCCAGGAUGAAGAGGAACCAUUGAUGAGCACCCUUUGGGUUCGGUCAGUCAGCCAGUUACAAAUCCACUGAGUGGUAGCAUAGUCAAGACCGCAUUUUACCAGCUUCUUUACAAGAAUAUCAUGGGGCACCUUGUCAAAUGCCUUGCUGAAAUCAAGGUAGGCUACAUCCACUGCGUUCCCUUCAUCUACCAGGCUUGUAAUUCUGUCAAAAAACGAGAUCAGGUUAGUCUGACAUGACUUAUUUUUCAGAAAUCCAUGCUGACUAUUGGUGAUCACAGCAUUCCUUUCUAGGUGCUCACAGACUGUUUGCUUAAUGAUCUGCUCCAGAAUCUUCCCUGGUAUUGAUGUCAGACUGACUGGGCGGUAAUUAUUUGGGUCCUCUCUUUCCCCUUUUUGAAAAUAGGGACAACAUUUGCCCUCCUCCAGUCUGCCGGGACUUCGCCUGUUCUCCAGGAAUUCUCAAAGAUGACUGCCAGUGGUUCUGAGAUCACAUCUGCCAGUUCUUUUAAUACUCUUGGAUGCAGUUCAUCUGGCCCUGAGACUUGAAUACAUCAAAACUAGCCAAGUAUUCUUGUACUAUCUCCUUAGUUAUUCUGGGCUGUGUUUCCUCUGCUGAAUCAUUUGCUCCAAAUUCUUCAGGUCGGGCAUUGUUUUCUUUAUCGGAGAAGACUGAGGCAAAGAAGGCAUUGAGGAGUUCAGCCCUUUCUGUGUCCCCUGUUUGCAUUUCACCAUCUUCUCCUCUGAGUGACCCCACUGUUUCUUUGUUCUUCCUUUUGCUACGAACAUACCCAUAAAAGCCUUUUUGUUGCUUUUAACCUCUCUAGCAAGCCUGAGUUCAUUCUGUGCUUUAGCUUUUCUGACUUUGUGUCUACACGUGCUGGCUAUUUGUUUGAAUUCCUCUUUGGUGGUUUCCCCCUUUUCCAUUUUUGUACACAUCCUUUUUAAUCUUAACUCAGUUAAAAGUUCUUUAGAUAGCCACCCUGGCUUCUUUAGGCACCUUCCAUGUUUCCGUCUCAUUGGUAUUGCCUGACGUUGUGCUUUUAGUAUCUCCCUCUUAACAAACUCCCAGCCAUCAUGAACUCCCUUUCCUUUUAGUAUUACUGUCCAUGGGAUCUCACCCAGCACUUCCCUAAGUUUUAUGAAGUCGGCUUUCUUAAAGUCAAGAAAUUGAGUCCUAGUAUGCUUGGCUGCUCCUUUCCGCUGUAUAGUAAACUUCAGAAGAGCAUGAUCACUCGCGCCUAAUGAUCCUUCCACUUCUACCCCACUAACCAGGUCAUCAACAUUGGUUAGGACCAGAUCUAAAAUGGCUGUUCCUACCACUCUUUCAUUUCCAAACCUUGCUGGUUUAAGCUAGACUAUGUCACAAAAAAGGUUG
rnacentral:lncRNA from 1 species